AAGUGAAAUUUUAGAAAGUUGGCCAAUUAUAACGAAUUCACUUGCCGCAGGACAAGAGGAGAGGAAUUUCGGUUUAAUACGAAACGAUAAUUGAAUUGAAAGGUAAGGGUGGCAAAAAUGCUGUCAUUAUCGAGGGAAUUAAUUUUUAGAGAUUAAAAUUAUAUCGGAUCAACCGUUCACACGCGUUUAUAUUAUUAUCGUUAAUUUCUCGAUCGAAAAUAAAUUCUCGCGGAAUUUUCCUUACGAUCCAGAUUCCAGCCCUGUUCGAAACAAUCGAGAUCGUGUUUCCUUCCGUCGAAAGCGCAGAGAGACACUGGCCCGCAUCGGAUCGGAACUUCUCGAUACGUGUACCCGGCUAUCGUUAUCGAAUAUACGCACACGAUAUGCGCGUCUCUCGUAUACACACAUCCCCCGAAUAAUCGGGGUAACAACGAUUAGCGUGAUUAUCGACGAGGCGCGCGUGCAUCCAUCCAACGGUUGGUUUACACGGUUAACGAUCGCGAAUUCCACCGUAUUAAUUUCCAAUUCUCUCCGCGAGUUGAUCUCUUCGCGAGCAGAUUGAAAAGAGAGAGAGAGAGAGAAAAAGGGAAAGAGAUUGGUGGAAAAAAAGAAAAUAAUAAUUAACCAGAGUGGAGCUCUGCGGUGGAUACGCAGAGUCGAUCGUUAACGGGAUUAGCGCCGCGAUUUCCCAUCCCCCUCCCGAUCGAGGGAUUUUCGAUCGGGGCAAAUGAACCUGGCCGCGAGAAAUUUUAACGAUCCGCCACGAUCCCGGUUAGUUAACGGGGGAAAGGGAUUUCGAUCGAACGUUGGAAUCACGUUGUCGCGACGAUUUGCGAAAUUUCGAUAAUACGGGAAUAGUUUCCGUUCCCGUAACCGUUUGAACCGUUUAAACUUUUUCCAGAAAAUUGAAACGCGCCGAUAUUAUGGAUUAUUAUUUUUUUGGAAAUUUUUUAAAAUCGUGCCGGAGAAGUUUCGAGGGCGAUCGAUGAUUCUUUUUCUCUCUGCGCGUAGACAGGUUGAUUAAACUUUUCCCUUUUCUUUUGUAGAUUCUAUUCAGAAAUAAUUCCCACGGAUAAAAGGAUUCCGGGUAUUUAUAGAUAUUUCAAACAAUUUAUAAAUAUUUAAUCCUUCGAAAUGUAAUCGUUGUAAAUUAAACGAAUCGGUGAAAUUGAAGGAUUCAAAUCGGCCAUUUCACGCGCAACAACGUGAUCAACUUCCUCUACGAAGCUUCUGCGUAGCACAACUAAUAAUUUAAAUUCCGAUCUUGAACCAUACUCUGUGCAUUUAUGCAUCGAUCGUGUCCAGAGAAGGAAACGAUCGAAAAAUCGGUAUUCCCUGAGGAAACGUGGGGUUCUCGAGUCCCUUCUGCCCAUCUUCGAGGAUUUCCCUUCGAAAGAAAAGUCGGGCGAUUCUCGUUGGUCGAGGAAAAGGAAACGUUGCGUCCGUGAGAUUUGCCCGACGGAAGGCAAAAGCAAAGGGAGAGAAGAAUGAAAGGAGGAGGAUGGACAAACGGUGGACCAGUUUCACGCAUCGUCGACGAACUUAUCUCGACGAGGAUGGCGGUACAAAGGCGGUUCUUCGCUGUUUGUCGCGGCAAACUCGAUUCAAACUGGCAGAGUUUGAAUUUAUACCCGAGCUCGGCUUUGCUCGCAAUUCUUCCUUCGAUUUUCGAAACCGAUUUCGAUUUUUCUUUUCGAGAAUCGAAUUUUUUUUAAUCCUCUCUCCAAUUUCCUUCGAUCCAACAAUUGCCCGUUGUUUCCAAACGUGUUUCGAGAGACAAGUCGUUCGAGAGAAGAGCGAAUUUAAAUAAUUCUUUCUCGCCAAUCGUAAAAUUAGAAUGUAACUCGACUGUGAAUCAAAAUUGGUGUCGAGUAUUAUAUUCAAGGAACUAGUUCAAAGGAUUAAAAGGAUUGGGCGAAAAAGGUGGAGACGGGAAGGAGAGAGAAAGAAUAAUGAGACGAGAGGAAAAAGCAGACGUUGGAGGAAAGUUGGAGUCGGCGAAAAAAUGCGAUAAAAAGGGGGAGCAACGAUUAUCAGCCGGGUCCAAGUGAAACUUUGCAGAGAGAGAGAAAGAAAUGGAAACGAGACUGAAAGAAAUAGCAACGGGACAAAAACUGAAUUUGAAACGAGAACAAAAAAAUACAAAAAUUGUCACGCAGCUCAUCAAACUCGAUGCUCUUAAGACUCGUAGAUUUACGAAUAAAAUUAUCACAAAUUACUCUCCCGCGAAAUCACUCUCUCGCGAAAUUAAUUCGAUCCAAAAAUUUCGCAACUCUCGAAAAUUUUACACUUCCAAAUUCAUUCUCUCGUCCAUAGAAACGAUGAAAAAUCAACCGUUCAAUUCUUUGACGAAUUGAAUUAAAAUUCACUCGAAACUGUUGCGAAACAGUUUUACCGAGGGAAGAAAAUUCGUGAGAAUCCAUCGGAAACGAUAGCUAAAGCUUCGUGGAUAACGUUUUUGCGGGCAAUGCCGGCCGGGCAAAAGGAUUUCCAGGAGAGGAGAGAAAUAGACGAUGGAGUGUCAGGCGUGGAAACCGACUCGAGAUAUAUAACCGGUGAGAUAUCUGGCACGGGAUAAGUCCGACCGACCCGCAUUCCUCCGUUUUUACGUUUUUGCUUUCAACAAACCCAGCUUCAACGCUUCCGUGCCUCCACGAACGCGCGGUUCCAAGUUAAGUUCCGCGUGUAAGUAACGUUCUCCAUCGAGGUGGAGAAGCGCAAGGAUUCUCUUAGUGAAAAGAGUUCCUCCGCGGGGAGAAACCGAGUCUCUCGCGAGUCCUUCGGGUGGUGGCGCGCUCAGAUAUCCGGCUACUUUAGAAUAGAUUCCUCUUGAGGAGUUCACCCGAGGUAGGAGAGCGAAAUUCUGCAGAGAUAGAGAGUCACCUGGACUCUGGAUAACUUCGUUGGCUUGGGCACCGCUUUCGAAGUUGCGCUAUCGGCGAGAGAAUCGCUGCUACGUUGGCUCGAAAGGCAUUUCCGAAAUAUUACGAAUAUUAGCCGCGAGAUUAUUGGGGGAAGAAUUUUGGAUUAUCGUGGUAUCAUUGAUAACGGAACAUUGAAAAGAGAAUUGUCAGAAUUCAUCGAAAGAAGUAGGCUGUUAAAAAAGCAAGAAGGAGAGCCGGUUAAAAUCUCGAAUAAAGUUACUUCGAGUGAUGGUAUAAAAUGCUUGAUCAACCUUUUUUAUUCUUUUCAUGUAUUAUUUCCGAUUAUUAUUACGUUUUGAACGAUAAAUUAUCGAGGUGACUUCAACUAAUAUAAUAUAUUAUUAUAUUUUGAACGAUAAUCCAAAUAACUUUGUUCGUAACUGCAACUAUUAAAUUUUGCCCAUCGCUGAAUCAGACAGCCUGGAUUUUAUUUUCAACAUUUAUGGUAAACGGGUUGCUCGAUCUAAACAGAGAUACAGCAGCAAUGGCCACCUCGCAACUCACAUUUAACGCCCUUUUGACCAAGUUUGCAUUUUCACCGAUCAAAAUAAUAAUCGGACAACAACGAAAAAAAAAAAAGAAUAAGUGGUCCUUGGAGUAAUACAUUUGCGCAAUAUUCAAACUCGUUCGCUUCAGACUUUAAUCAUUUUGCCAAUACUCAUUCCAUUGUGAUCGGCUGGCGAUCAGAUUCGCAUGAAAUCGGAAUAUCUUGAAAAGAUCUUGCUCCACAUACCACAAUAUCGUAACAUUUGUGAAAAAUUACAAUCGUCGACGACAGAGAAGAAGCAAUUAUACUAAAACUAAACAAGAAUCCUCUUCUCUCUCCUCGAAGGAUCCGCGAAGACAAGAAGCGUGAAUUUGGCCCAACUCGGGGCGAGCAACCGUGGCAACCGUGGAAAAUCAAUCGGUUAAUACUAUCGGCGAAUGGAAUUAGUUGCGCGGAACGUUGCGGCGUUCCUACGCUGGGAAACAGCCACGUGGACUGUCCGUGCCCGCGAAAAUACCCGAUGGCCGAACGGUAAACGCGAUUGCCAACUGUUUCCCAACUAUCGAGGCAACUUUCUACCCGCACGAGCUCCCCUCCCAUUUAAUUAAAUAUCGCGAAACACGCUUCCUUCCAUCGUGGCAAGACCCUUGCUGUUUCCACGCGUUCCAAAUCUAUAUAUAUAUAUAUAUAUCGUUUGUCUCGUUUCUUCCAUCCAACGCGUGACAACUUGGAGAAGAUAAAAAAUACGAUCGUUCUCGAUACAACUGUUCGUGUAUCGCCGUAUACACCGCUCUCCAUCAAUCACCGGUGACGAUUUGAAAGUUUUUUUAUUUUUUUUUUGUUUUCGAAUAGUUGGAAAGCUCUCGCGACACAAUGUGAAAACAACAACGGCUUCGAUGGAAAUAUCGUUGACGGUUUGGAUAUUCCAUUAUACGAUUUUUUUUACAGUUUUUCUUUUAUGUGUACAUGUACGCCGAAGUUAUCGUUAAAUGGGUUAAGAUAUUCGAUGCAAGACAAGAACGAACGAAGUUUUCCAUCGCGGUUGAUAUUCGAUAUGCACGGUUUAUUAGUCGAACGCAUUCGGUUGGAAGGCAUAUACGAAUAUACUUUGGGAGGCAUGGAUAAGAAUUGAAGAAACGUAUCGAGACGUAAUUUUUUAGUAAUCUUAACAUUUUCUCGAUUUCGAUACGAUACCUUUUUUUUUCAUAAAGAAGAUUUGUAAAGUAUAAAUUAUUUCAUUGUUGGGGAUUGGCGGAAAUUAGCCCAAUUCUCGAGACGAUUGUCGUUGGAAGAAUCCGGGAAAUUUCGGUGUGUGAGGGCCACGGGAGAGCGAUUCGUUUAAAAUCGUGAUGCGGAUUUUUAUAAAUGGGAACCUUCAACGUUUUAUCUCUCCCCUUCCGUCUUGGCGACGGCAAUAUCCGCAGCGGGUGUGUCGCGUUUCGCCGAAAUUAAAGUCGCAAGAUAAACGAGCCGCAUUUACGAAACGGCCGAAAAAUUCCCCGCGAACGUAAAGAGAUCCAUCCUUUCGUGGAUAGUUAAAAAAAAAGGAUCGUUCCACUCGUGGAAACGAGUCAAAUUUCCCGAGAAAUUCCCGAGAGAAGAGCUUUCUUCCCCCCCACUCCUCUCCUUUCCUCCUCCUCUUAACGGAUGUCUCAUCAAACUGUUCAUUUAACGAGCGAAUUCGUGACAAUUGAAAUUCGACUUGGAGUUUCAACAAAAAGAAAGGGCAACGGUCAAAGAAUUAUUACAGUACUCGAUUGUUCCAUCUUUUUUGAUAGCAAUUUACUUAUCGAGGAAAAUAUAUUUUACACAUCUUCUAUUCUUCUAGUCGAACUGUGAAUAAAUAAUUAAUUUGCUUCGUCGUUUUACAAAUACGUCGAAAGAAGGGAAAUCGAAGCAUAUCGGAGUAUAGAUAAACGUGAUGAUCUUGAAUACUUUUGCCGACUCGCUAUCAUAUAUCUUGAUAAUAUUUUGACGCGCGUCGAAAUGCAGAAUCAUGAUUGUUUUGGGAAGGAAGAUUAAUCGAAUGCGCGAAAAAGGAAAGGAAAUGGAACGAAAGCUUGAUCGCCGCAAGAUAGACGAUAACGAUAAUAUUCGAAACUUGCAUAGACCCCGCCCCCUGAUUAUCGGUGUCCAAUUAAUUUCGGAUGGAGAAUUACGAAGACACGGAUCACUGUCGGCGCAUAUAUUAUUAAUUAAUAAUUUCCGCGGGGGUGUCGAUUUCAGAUUACGCUAAUCCACCGUCAAUUUUAGCCGCGGAAUCGAUUCUAAUUCAACGAUUCCGGCCCGUAAAUCGGCUGAAUUUUCUCGUUUAAACCACACGGAUCACGCUGUUGAAUUGACAGUCGCGUUACAGCCCGGCCGGAAGAAUUAAUUCGCGUCGUAUAUCUUCCGGCGACAAGCGUAAUUUUCGGGAUAAUCUCUCUGGUUAAAUGGAUACAGAACGACGAUGCGGCGGUAUAAUUUUUCGGGCUCACCUCUCCUCAUACGGAGCAAGAACAAUGGGGGUCGAUUCCAGUGGUGGAAAGAAAGAAGAAAUAAGCGUGCGUUUUGGGACGAAAGAAACUUGACCGUGAUGCUCGGUUUAAUCCCCUCGCAAAUCCUUUGAGCCCCAUUAGCGAGCGUAGCCGGAGUGAACUUGUCUCGAGCACACGCGUGAAUUGUCCUACACCAUGAGCAUAAAUAUUAUUUAAUCUUCGCAGCUCGUCCAACACACUCGACGCUUUCGAUAAAUUCGUGGAACGUUGCCACUUCUAUCCGCAUCCGCCAUUCGAAUAUCGCGACGAGAGGGAUAAGACGAGCGUAAUAAUUUAGGAAAAUUUAAGCGCGUGGGGAAUAUUAACAUGGCGAACGAAUCAUCGAUAAUGAGGACCCACUAUGCGCGAAACAAUUCGCCGCCAUUUGCAUACCAUUUGCGUGAUUUAUGAUACUGGAGAUAAUUAUCUUUCAUGUAUCCAUACAUACGUGCCAUCGCUCAACCGCGUACUUCUCCCUUCCUCUCUUUGCCAUUACAAUUAUUUCCCCAUUUAUUCAUUCGAGAAUUCUUAAAAAUAUCCUAUAUACAUCUUCUUUUAUCCCUCGUUCGAGAGAUAUUCGUUCGAAAUGUUAUUUUAUUUUAUCGUUCAAUUAAUUUGCAAGUAAAAUCGCGUGUAAAGAUUAUCCGAGUAUCUUAAAAAUUCUUUAUCUUUUAAAUCGCGCGCAAGGAUCGGAGUAAUUCAAUCUCUCCAAUUUCUUGAAUGGCGUGUACAUAUGCAGCUCAUCGGGUUUCGAUAGCGGCAUAAUUUGCGGUUAAUAGUCGAUAGGUGUUUGCCGUUUCGAAUAUCGAGGGUGGAGGAUCCCGAGUGGAAUCGUAUCGCCGAACCGCGAAUAAAUCCGUCGCGAAUAGGAUUAUCCCGCCUCCUUCGAGCCUCGAAUCGGAUCCAGGAAGACAAGGAACGCUGUGAAAUAGGGAGAUUUCCAGUAGAAACGUCAAAUUUUCCGGCGACGGAUAUCCAGGGAAGAAGUGACGCGCGAUAUUUCUACAAAUUUCUAUCGUAUUAUCUAUCGUUUUCUUUUCUCUGUUGCGCAAAGCAAGGAUUAUCGGCGCAUAAAAUGUAAGAGAGAAAAUUGUAGAAUUUCAACGAUUUACUUGCAUUAUUAUUAUUAUUAUUACUAUUUUGUCGUACUUUUGAUGAAGUAAAAAUUAUUAUCAUUUUGUCGAAAAUAGCGAAAUUAAUUACAUACAAAUCGUAAUGAUCGAUGAAUAAUCCGUGGAACGCAGUAUCUCUAAACGCUCUAUCUACGUGUAUCCAAUAUGGAAAUUCGAGCAAUUCGAACGAAGGAAGUUAUAUUUUUAUUAAAAAUCGUGCGACAAAUUGUUCAGGAUCAUCGGAAAAAUCGGGGACAAAAAAUCAUAAAAUUUUAAUAACCUAAUAAAUUAAUAAGAGACCUACUCGAAUUUCCAAUUCAUCGUCCCCGAGAUACGUUCGAAGCAGAAACAAUCCGAACAAUUGAAAUAAGAAGAAAAAAAAAAAAGAAAAAAAAAGAGUUAUCCCCCGCGACCUUUGCCAAUUCAGUGGGAAAAAUGCAUUUGGAGAAACGUACACACACACACACACACACACACAUAUAUAUAUAUAUAUGGAAGAGAAGCCAUGUCCCUGUCGUCGAAGACCAAAAGCCAUUCGGUCGACUUCGGAACAGUGCAACCGCACAGUGGCGUAGGUCGCGGUCGAUCGAUCCACGGGAUUUCAAUUAACCGAGUGACCGAGGAAAAACUGCAGUUUGGAUGCUCCAGUAUCCGGGGAGGGGAGGGGUGUGAAAGAAGGCCAACUCGAGGUAUUUAUAUGUGUCACCGGUGAAUCUUCGUCGUGGUCUCCCCCUCUCUUCAAUCCUCGUAUCGCUUGUCAUUCUUUUCUUACCGAAUUUUUUCUCCCUUUCUUUUCUUUCUUUUUUUCUUUCCUAUCGAUACACUCGCCUCUAAUCUCUCACCUAUCUCUUACUUCAUCCCUCUUUUCUUUCUAUAUUUCUUGCAACCUCAUCACCUCUCCCUCUCUUUCUCUCGUCGUUUUCGAUGAUAUCCGAUCAUCCCUUUUUUAUAACGUCUCUUUUUCGUCCCCUCUAUUCGCCGUUUCUUUCACACACGUACAUAUACACGCUCGUUUCAUUCUCCAUUCUCUAUAUUCAGGUCAUACCAAAACUAAUUGCCAUUCGAUUCGUCCACUCUUUGAAGCUUGACGAAAGUUUCCCACCGCAUUUCCCGUUAAACCCCCGCCCCACCCCCGAACAAACCACCGAGGGUUUCCGCCACUUGGAACUUCCGACCUCUCUCUCUUUCUCUCUUUCUCUCCAUUGCUCUACAUCGCGAUGGACAAACCGUGAUAAUUGGCGAGGGAAGCGAUUAUUCGAAAGAAUCGAUCCUCCCCCGAUGUUUCUCGCGCAAACUUUACUUUUUCUUUUUUUUCAAUGCUUCCUGUCGAUGAUACGACGAAAACGGGGAUUCAGCAGAAGAAUAUGAAAGAGGCGAUUUUUGCAAAAUGAUUUUGUAAAAAAAUAAUACACGAGAAAUUUUGCAAUUGGCGUACGGGGAAUAUGAAAGGAAUAUGAAAACAAGGCGUAAAAAAAAUUCGCGACAUCGAGAAGGAAGACGUUGCAAAAGGAAAAUAAUGUAGGAAGCUUCGAUAUUGUAUGAAUAAGCACGAAUAACAGAGGAAACGAAUUAACAAUAAGAGAUGUAAAAGAAGUAGCAUAUAAGGAGCGUAUUGAAAGAAAAAGUCCUCGUAAAGUAAUAUUCAAACGUCUUUGCAAUUGAUGGUGGAUGCAUGCAUGGAAAUGUAAAAGAAUUCGUAUCGAGAAGGAAACGAGGAUAUUAGAAAAAAAGUGCUUGCAAAAUAACGAUACAAUUAACAAUAAAAAAAACAAAAGAUGAUAAAAAUAUUCCUUGUAAAAAUAAUAUACAAAACUAAUAGUAACGUAAAAUAAAAUUCAAACGUUCUUACAAUUGAUCGUAUAUGCAUCGAGAUAUAAAAGAAUUCGUAUCGAGAAGUAUUUGCAAAAUAAUACAAAAACUAUUUACGAAGGAUGAUAUUAAAAAAUUCCUUGUAAAAAUAAUAUAUAAAACUAACAAUAACGUAAAAUAAAUUUCAAACAAUUUCUUACAACUGAUAUAUGCAUGAAAUAUAAAAGAAUUCGCAUGGAGAAGUGUUUGCAAAAUAAUAUAGAAAGAAUUUUGCGACUGAAAAAAGAAACGAAUUAGAACGAAUAAAUAUUCUUUAUAAGAAUAAUAUAUAAAACUAACAAUAAAAUAAAUUUCAAACGUUGUUGCUACACGAUAUAACUGGAACGAAGACACGGGAUGCGAUAUUAGAAAGCUCGUUGUGGAAUAAUAAAUAUAAAACUAGUAGCACACAGUUGUACGUAUGUAAUGAUUCUUCUUGCGAUUGACAAAGGGUUCGCGAUAUCCGAGAGAUGAAGGAGGAUGAGAAGGAAGAAGAGUCGGACGGAUGGAUUGAUCGAUCGCAUGGAAGCGAGUUAAGGUCGGCCACGAAGAAAGAUUCGAGGUCGAGGUUCGGUUGACGAAGGUUUCCCAUUACGGAUUCCUCGCGAUACGGUUGCCAUCCCCCUCCCCCUCCUCUUGCCCUCCUCUCGGCUCGCGGCCGGGCUGAAACUUUCCCUUAAUGACACAAGUUUUAUUGCGGGCCAUCGUUCAAGCUGGCAGCAAAGCCGACAAGCCAGCCGGCGACGCGUCGACUCUCGGCCUAGGCGGGUUGCCUCCUCUUCAAUUCCCGCUCUAACUAGCCAACUUGUAAUUCUAAACUCGAAUAACAAUGAUUAAGUGAGCCCCGUUCGCCAAAUGGCGUUUUCCAAGCUGGCCAAAGCGGAAAAUCCGCGGAAAAUUAAGGGGAACCGUGGAAUUUGUUAUUUUCCGCGAGGAUCAUCCCCCGCGUAACCAACUUCCCUCGUUCCCCAUUCAAAGAUUUACCUCGGCACCAGUGGAGAGUAGGAAUUCAAAGUAGGAAAGAUUACAGACUUUGAAUUAUUUUUCAUCGACGGUUUUUCAAUUUUCGUCGCCCGUUCCGUUCGCCGUUCGUUUGCUGCGAUGCUCGACGAUGAAAGGGAUGAGAACAGAUUCAGAAUGGAUGCAUGUGAAAAGUUGCUCGUCGAAUCUAAAGAGAGACGUACGAAGAGUUGAGAAGCCUCGUUCGGGACGAUAUUCGAUCAAAAACGAAUUAAUUUAACCAUCUACUCCGAGUUGGACAGUUAACGCUGGCUAGUUGCGAGCCGAUUAUCCAAUCGUGCUGGAUAACACAAUUUACCCACGAAUGAUGCGAUCGAUCGACACGUGAAAAGCCGCAUCUCCGAGUUUUAGAGAACCUUGGAUGACCCUCGACGAUGCUUUAAUCAAUCCCCCUGUCCGCUCUGUGGUCGUCCGCUUUAAUCUCGCGAUUCGAUACGCCCCCUCCCCCGUGUAUGGACGAAAGUAUGGGAUGCCAUUCACCCGCAGCUGCGCGUCUGUCCAUCUUCCCUCUCUCUCUGUUGCGAAAAACUCUCUUGGAGAAUCGUCACCGAAACGCAAACUUUUAACUGCGUUAUUCCGUAUAAUCGAAAAUAUCGAGCCCCGACAAAGCUAUUAAAAUUGAUCGACUGUUUUCUAUUCUCGAGCCUGUUGUGCGUAUAAUCGAAGCGCGUUACGAGCUUCUCGUCGAGAAAAACGAAGAUUUCUUUUGACUUCGGAUCGGAUGCAGCAAAAAAAAAAAAAAAAGAAAGGAAAAUGAAACAAGGCUCGACAAGCGGCAUUUCUUUCUUUUUCUCUGCCUUCUCUCGUCCACGGGGAGCUCACGGGUGCUUCGUCAUUUGAUCUAAUGCUUUCUUCCUUCCUGCGGCGAUCAAUCUUAAUUCGUGUGUUAAAUUACUUCACCGAGAGACUGAUGCUCCCCCCCUCCUCGCCGAAGAAAUAUAUUAAGACACGAUGAAACGCCCGCUCAGUCUCACGUUCGCGCCAUUAAUUCGUCACGAUCGCUGGCCAAGUAUGUUCGAUAUCUGGUGCUUUUAUAUCGAGGAAAAGUUUGGAGGCCCGUCGAGAUAAUAUCGUGAUCACCAUCGGAUGGCUAUACGAUCGUCCUCCCUGUUCAUCUUUCGAGCAUUCAUCAUCCGUCCUCCCUGGAUGAAAAUACGUAUAUAUGAAUUUUCUUCCCGAUCCUUUCUAACUUUGACUUUUUCUUUGCGGGAAGUGAAUUUGAAAUCGAAAUUGCAAUCCAAGUGUAUAAUACAGGAGGAAACAAAGAGAGUUUCAUCCCAAGAGUUAUCUAAAUCGAUUUAUCUAAAUCGAGCAUCAGUUUUGAAUAUUACUACGAAAAUCGUUAGGUGUUCGAAGGGAAUAAAGGGGAUAAAUAAAUUCUUUUUCUUGGAGUUUCAAUCGCGAGAAUUUUCUCUCGUUCGAAUCGAAAGUUAAAAAUUAUCGGACAGUUUUUUUGGACGAAAAUUUAAGAGAAAAAAGAAAGGGAAAAAGAAAAAGCUUCAUUCACUGCUACACCGCUGAAACGUGCUGGCGAUCUAUCGCUUUCGAAUCGAGCUGGUCUUGAUUAAUUCGGUUUCUUGGUCGCGUUAAACGGAGAUCAACGAUUUCCGCGCCACGUAAAUUAGUAAAUUGGCUGUCAGUCUGCGGACUGUAAUUGCAUUCGGCCCCGUUACGCAGCAAUAGCAAUCGAUACUCGAUCGCUCCUUCUCUGUUCCGCCUUUUAUCGGAUCGGCUGCUCGGUGAAAACCGCUUUCGAAAAGCGGUUGAAAAGCGAUCUUUCCGCGAGAACUCGAUGGGCUGUAAUUGGUAAUUGCUCGUGAAAAUUGCACGCGGUGCGACAGGGAAAUUUUCACAACACCGGAACUAUGGAGUAAUGAUCUGAAACCUAUUUCUGAGAAAAUACUCACCUUUAACCGCGUUCAGCUUGUUGCCGACCAUCUGCUUCGCCACGAAAGCUGCCAUCUUGCUGCUCGCCGAUCAACGCCCUCGGUAAUCGAACGCCCUGGAAUCGAGAUAAUUCACCGUGAAACACUUUUCAUUGGAAAAAAAAAAAAAUAAUUCGCACAUGUCGUAAUCGAUAAUCGCAGAUAUAAAUGUUGUAAAUUCUUCUAAAACGGGAAAUGCACUCAGGGAUAAAUGUAAUAAACAGAAACGACACUUUCGAUGAACAUUCUUUUACGCGAUAUAAAAAGAGGCGGUCGGUAAAUAUUUGUCGCGUAAUAAUGAGAAAAUUACACGCGCGGAACGAGCGCGCAAUGUUUUUACGACGAUGCGUAAAAACAUGGUCCCCUUUAAGAUACACAAGAAACGACGAUCUUCUUGGCUUUAUAUAUUCAUACGUGAAAUCUCUUUUCAGGAGUUCCACCGCGUUUCCACGUAAUAAUCGUUACACGGUUCUCUCGGCUCGUGAAUACCUUCUUUACAACCAGAUUCGAUUCGAUCUCUCCGCGUGUACAUACGGAGGAUCGAAAUGGCGCGAGAAUCCCUCCUCCAUUUAGGUUUAUUAGAGGGAACGAAUCGAUAGAUAGAAGAAAUCGAAAAUGUUUCGACAAAACUGUAUCUCGAGCCAAACAUCCGUGGAGAAUGG